rnacentral:rRNA from 1 species
AGGAUAGAGGCCUACCAUGGUGGUAACGGGUAACGGGGUGUUAGGGCACGACACCGGAGAGGGAGCCUGAGAAACGGCUACCACAUCCAAGGAUGGCAGCAGGCGCGCAAAUUACCCAACCCCGACACGGGGAGGUAGUGACAAUAAAUAACAAUACGGGGUUCUUUCGGAUCUCGUAAUUGGAAUGAGUACAAUUUAAAUCUCUUAACGAGGAACAAUUGGAGGGCAAGUCUGGUGCCAGCAGCCGCGGUAAUUCCAGCUCCAAUAGCGUAUAUUAAAGUUGUUGCAGUUAAAAAGCUCGUAGUUGAAUUUCGGGGUUAGUAGGUUGGUCAUGCCUCUGGUAUGUACUGGUCUCACUGAUUCCUCCUUCCUUAUGAACCGUAAUGCCAUUAAUUUGGUGUUGCGGGGAAUUUGGACUGUUACUUUGAAAAAAUUAGAGUGUUUAAAGCAAGCUAACGCUUGAAUACAUUAGCAUGGAAUAAUGAAAUAGGACGUUCGAUCUUAUUUUGUUGGUUUCUAGGAUUGACGUAAUGAUUAAUAGGGAUAGUUGGGGGCAUUAGUAUUCAAUUGUCAGAGGUGAAAUUCUUGGAUUUAUUGAAGACUAACUACUGCGAAAGCAUUUGCCAAGGAUGUUUUCAUUAAUCAAGAACGAAAGUUAGGGGAUCGAAGACGAUCAGAUACCGUCGUAGUCUUAACCAUAAACUAUGCCGACUAGGGAUCGGAU